rnacentral:rRNA from 1 species
UACGUAGGGGGCGAGCGUUGUCCGGAUUUAUUGGGCGUAAAGAGCUCGUAGGCGGUUUCGUAAGUCGGAUGUGAAAACUCCAGGCUCAACUUGGAGACGCCAUUCGAUACUGCGAUGACUUGAGUCCGGUAGGGGAGUGUGGAAUUCCUGGUGUAGCGGUGAAAUGCGCAGAUAUCAGGAGGAACACCGGCGGCGAAGGCGGCACUCUGGGCCGGUACUGACGCUGAGGAGCGAAAGCGUGGGUAGCAAACAGG